AUGAAAAGUAUUGAGCUCAAAAGUACUUGUAAAACUUUUAUUUCACAGGAAAAAUAUAUGAAACAGUACAGAACUAGCCGCCAGUUCGUGGGAAUCACGAACUGGCCAAACGACAUGGCCGACGUGAAUCUCGCAAGUGCCGCGAAAUUCAAGAUGGCCGCCGUUCGCGUGCAAAAGUGCCGUGCGGCCCACGAUCGAGGAUACGAUCGCGGUCUGCCGGCAUGGAAAAGAG